UUCUUAUCCAGAGAGGCGGAGGGACUGGCCCUUUGAUGCCCGGCAACCAUCGAAUCAAUUGUACAAUUGACGAGAACGGUGCCAAUUCCUGUAGAGUAUUUAUUGCUCUAAGAGAUGAGAG
rnacentral:ncRNA from 2 species